rnacentral:rRNA from 1 species
UUCGGAGGGGGCUAGCGUUGUUCGGAAUUACUGGGCGUAAAGCGCACGUAGGCGGCUUUGCAAGUCAGAGGUGAAAGCCCGGGGCUCAACCCCGGAAUAGCCUUUGAGACUGCAUCGCUAGAAUUGUGGAGAGGUAAGUGGAAUUCCGAGUGUAGAGGUGAAAUUCGUAGAUAUUCGGAAGAACACCAGUGGCGAAGGCGACUUACUGGACACAUAUUGACGCUGAGGUGCGAAAGCGUGGGGAGCAAACAGG